CCUCUGUACAAAAUGAAAUGAUCAUAUGCAACUGAUUCAGUCAACAGGUUGUUUUAAUGGAGAAAAAGGAGGAACAUAAAAAUAUAUGUCAGAGCUCCCUCCUCAACCCUGUCCUGUCGGACAUCCCAAACAUCCUAUCCUAUCUGUCUCCCGUGUUUACUUUUCUCUGUUGCUCUGCUCUCCCUCUCUCUCUCUUCUCUCUCCCCAGCACUGCACCUGAGUGGAGCUCGGUUCUCAGCUGUCUCCACUCAAGUGAUUAGAUUUGCCAUGAGAUCCGGACGACUGUGCCUCAUCCAUAAACUGUAUAUAAAGAUGGAUGUAGCAUCUGGCUCCAAAAUUGAAGCCAACCCGGAAGUGUCAAAAACUUGCAAUAUCACGCCGCCCGCUAGGGUUGGCUCCAGAAAGCUUUUGCUCCAUAGACCCCAAUUCAUUUUUGGAAAAAAUAAAAUUUGAUAGACUGAUUUUCUACAGCUCAGGAUUUUUUUCCCGUUAGUUUUCAUGGUCAAAAUGAGAGAUCAGGUGGCCGAUCUUAAAAUAAAUCAAUACUGAAUUUUAAAUAAAUCGUUAAAUUUGGCGGAGCCAGGGGGCGUGGCUAUACUUGAUAGACAGCAACAGAAGCCUCUGUGGUAAAAUGUGGGCGGGAUAAGAGAGUCUUCAGCCAAUCCUGCCCCUAGUUGCUCUGUGGUCCAGCUUGUUUGAUGACGCUUUUUACGUCACUGGCUCCAAAAAAUCCAAAACGGUGACCAGGAAGUAGCAAAAUCUGGGCUUCAUUUUCUCGGCGUUGAAACCAACGGGUGACAUCACGGUUAGUUCACGCCUGGCCUCAUCUCACUGAUUACAUCCUCUGCAAUAAAGACCGGCUGAAUCUUCCACACCCUGCCAGAUUGUUGCAUUCGACCACACAAAUCCUGCUGUCCGGGUUCUCAUGUGCCUCACCCGUUCGGAACCGAGUUGACAGACAAUUCGGCUCUCAUCCUGCCUGCCUGGAACUCAACCCUGGGUUGUUUUUUUGCCCUGUUCGGAUUACCUGUUCGGCUCUGUCCUCGGAGCCUCCAGCCACCCCAGUCCCGAUCCGCCUGUGGCUCUCUAUCAGUACCUUCCCGGGGUCAAGAGACGAUCACUGGCAACUGGCCCACCCACCAAGACGGCCCCCCCGGAUCGUCAGUGCUCAUCGUCCUCCAUCUCUCCUGCGCCGGCUCACGACUGCUGACGGCUGGCCCACUAUCCAUCACGCCCCCCCGGAUCAUCAGCGUCAGCCGACUUCCGUAUCUCCUGCUUCAGCUCACGACCGCUGUCGACUGGCCCACUCACCAGCACGGCCCCCCAGAUCAUCAGCGUUCCCAGUUCCCAGUAUCUCCUGCUCCUGUUUCGCUCAGCCCUCUGGCUGUAUCCGCCUCCGGCCGACAGGGAUCCGUCCGGCACCUGCCGCCGCACUCUGAUCCCCCCCAGAACUCCGACCCAAACCCACUCAGUCUCCACCCGUCCCCACGUAUCCUGGUUCUCUACACGCUGCUCCACAAUUCAUUCCCUGUGCAAUAAAAAUCACUUCAUUUCA